rnacentral:rRNA from 1 species
GACGAACGCUGGCGGCGUGCCUAAUACAUGCAAGUCGAACGAGAGCGACCGGUGCUUGCACUGGUCAAUCUAGUGGCGAACGGGUGAGUAACACGUGGGUAACCUGCUCAUCAGAGGGGGAUAACAUCCGGAAACGGAUGCUAAAACCGCAUAGGUCUUCGAGCCGCAUGGCUUGAAGAGGAAAAGAGGCGCAAGCUUCUGCUUAUGGAUGGACCCGCGGUGCAUUAGCUAGUUGGUGAGGUAACGGCUCACCAAGGACGUGAUGCAUAGCCGACCUGAGAGGGUGAUCGGCCACAUUGGGACUGAGACACGGCCCAAACUCCUACGGGAGGCAGCAGUAGGGAAUCUUCCGCAAUGGACGCAAGUCUGACGGAGCAACGCCGCGUGAGUGAAGAAGGUUUUCGGAUCGUAAAACUCUGUUGUUAGAGAAGAACAAGUGCUAGAGUAACUGUUAGCGCCUUGACGGUAUCUAACCAGAAAGCCACGGCUAACUACGUG